AGAGUUUGAUCCUGGCUCAGGACGAACGCUGGCGGCGUGCCUAACACAUGCAAGUCGAGCGAUGAAACCCUUCGGGGUGGAUUAGCGGCGGACGGGUGAGUAACACGUGGGUAACCUGCCUCAAAGAGGGGGAUAGCCUCCCGAAAGGGAGAUUAAUACCGCAUAACAUUAGUUUUUCGCAUGAAGAACUAAUUAAAGGAGUAAUCCGCUUUGAGAUGGACCCGCGGCGCAUUAGCUAGUUGGUGAGGUAAAGGCUCACCAAGGCGACGAUGCGUAGCCGACCUGAGAGGGUGAUCGGCCACAUUGGAACUGAGACACGGUCCAGACUCCUACGGGAGGCAGCAGUGGGGAAUAUUGCACAAUGGGCGAAAGCCUGAUGCAGCAACGCCGCGUGAGUGAUGAAGGCCUUCGGGUUGUAAAGCUCUGUCUUUUGGGACGAUAAUGACGGUACCAAAGGAGGAAGCCACGGCUAACUACGUGCCAGCAGCCGCGGUAAUACGUAGGUGGCGAGCGUUGUCCGGAUUUACUGGGCGUAAAGGAUGCGUAGGCGGAUAUUUAAGUGAGAUGUGAAAUACCCGAGCUUAACUUGGGUGCUGCAUUUCAAACUGGAUAUCUAGAGUGCGGGAGAGGAGAAUGGAAUUCCUAGUGUAGCGGUGAAAUGCGUAGAGAUUAGGAAGAACACCAGUGGCGAAGGCGAUUCUCUGGACCGUAACUGGCGCUGAGGCAUGAAAGCGUGGGUAGCAAACAGGAUUAGAUACCCUGGUAGUCCACGCCGUAAACGAUGAGUACUAGGUGUAGGAG
rnacentral:rRNA from 1 species